UGAACGCUGGCGGCGUGCCUAAUACAUGCAAGUCGAGCGAACGGACGAGAAGCUUGCUUCUCUGAUGUUAGCGGCGGACGGGUGAGUAACACGUGGAUAACCUACCUAUAAGACUGGGAUAACUUCGGGAAACCGGAGCUAAUACCGGAUAAUAUUUUGAACCGCAUGGUUCAAAAGUGAAAGACGGUCUUGCUGUCACUUAUAGAUGGAUCCGCGCUGCAUUAGCUAGUUGGUAAGGUAACGGCUUACCAAGGCAACGAUGCAUAGCCGACCUGAGAGGGUUAUCGGCCACACUGGAACUGAGACACGGUCCAGACUCCUACGGGAGGCAGCAGUAGGGAAUCUUCCGCAAUGGGCGAAAGCCUGACGGAGCAACGCCGCGUGAGUGAUGAAGGUCUUCGGAUCGUAAAACUCUGUUAUUAGGGAAGAACAUAUGUGUAAGUAACUGUGCACAUCUUGACGGUACCUAAUCAGAAAGCCACGGCUAACUACGUG
rnacentral:rRNA from 1 species